CUCAAAUACGGUCUCAAAAUAGACGACCACGUUUUUCUUCGUUGUGCAAAUUUGCAAACAUCAAAAAAAGCUGUACAGAAUAUAAUUGCUGUAAAUACGAUUUUUCAUCGUUUGAAAAGUACCAUCAACUUUACAUUUGCAUUUAUAAGAUUGAAAAGACUUCUUGCUUUUGCACUUUCAAGGAAAUUAGGAUUGUACUUUGAAGAAAAUUGACAUUGCACUUUAAAGAGGUUUCAUCAUCCUUUGCAAGGUGCCAUAAUCGUUCCGUUUUCUACAUAUUUAUGAAGAAAUUCAUUCAUAUUUUUGUUUCAAUUAAAAGAAAAUAAUAAACGAAUUGAA